CAGAAGUCUGUAUUAUCGUGGUAACACUGGGAGAUCCCAGCAAGAAGCAAACCUUAUUUUACCGAUCUACAAGUAAAUGCAUAGGAAUAGACCAUUCUUGCCCCACAAGUAUAACAGUACAUGAGCUGGGAGGGAAGCAGGAACAGGAUUCAGUCCAUGGAGAACUGAGAGGAGGUCUCAUCUCUUAGGGCUGACAGUUUUUCUUUCUCUGUGCCUGCACAGUCCUUGGAACAGCUUCUUAUCAUGACAAAAAAGAAACGAUUUUUUGGCCAUUUCCCAGCAUGCAUUCAUGGGCACAUGCAGCAGGUCACCUUAUUGAAGCUGGAAUAAAAACUACUUCCGAAAGAGCAACAGCGAUAGUCAGCUCAGCAGCAGGACUCCUGUGUACUCAACUGCACUAGCUUCCAUCGAACACAAGUGCCUGGCUUCACCUGACCUGUGGCCCAAGCAACCCUGUUUUUGUAUUGGCUUAAAUUUGCUGCAGAUAGGCCACCCUAGCUAAGAAGGACCAUAAGAAAAUAAUCCUAAACAUUUUAAUUCACAGGCAUUUCUGAACUGCCAAUACUCUUGGGCAGUGUACAGUAGAGCUUAUAAAUAGCACUUCGAGUGUCCGUGAUGUCACAAACCACAAGAUCAUCUGACUUGUGAUUUAUUACAUGAGAUCAUGGCUUGUAACCUGCAUCUUAUUUACAGUCACUACACCCACUAUUAUUCCUGAGCCAUCCCAGUGUUGAGCAGAUACAUAAAUGCUGCCUGGAACUGAAACAGUAAACAACCAAUUAAAAGUUUAACCUCUCCCUUUCCAGUCUCUUCCUAUAUCAUUAACUGAGGAUACUGUUGCUUAAAUUAAGGUUGUGCCAGAUAAUGACAAAUAGGUGUUCAUUCGUUUGCCCAUAUAUCACAUUUGUACAAACAAUACUCAUAGAUUUUGUCGGCAUUUAUUGUUCAAAAAUAGUUUCUUAUUGAAACUGCAUUUAUUUGAAGAGAUGUUCUUUCCUUCAGUGCAAGAUUGUUGUUUUACAAGAUUUCCUAGAAUAAAAUAGUGAAAGUCCAUUUCUAGCAUUUAAUGAAAGAAUAAUUUUAAUUCUCUUUAUAGCUCUUGACACUGCACAUAUAUGCCCAUAAACGGGUUUACCUUAACAGGAGUCUGCAAAACCAGAGUUGGACAAUGUAAUUAGAAAGUGAAAAGCUUGGAAUUCGGAUUAAUUAGACUAAGUAACAUUCAAAUUUUAUGUCACAGGUUACUGUAGAGCACUCAUAAAUGCAUCACUGUGAUUUACUCCCUCUCUUUUAAAAAAAUACCUCAUGUAAGUGUAAGGCUAUAGGAUAAGAAAAGUAGUUAGUAGUACUAAUGUCCUGUAAAAUAUCUCAGUCUAUGCCCUGCAGUUUCAUUGUCUGUGAUCUUAAAAGCAUAGCCUACGCUCUGAGAUCAGAAGCUCCUUUUAUAUUCUCAUGGGACAAAGUACCCUAAAGCAGCUAGUUGAACAAGAUCAAACACUGCACAUCAGUGUGAUCUGCAAGAGGGACACAAAGGAAACCCUUCUGUAGCCAGCUGGCUCUUUCUAAACAUUCAUUUCCAUUAAUUAAAAUACCUGCAACAUUAGCAGCCCUUACUGGAGUUGGGACAGAGGGCAGAUAAGAUGGUUCAAGGUGCAUGAGAAAUCUGGUUUAGUGCAGUCUU